GGCCUCGUAGCUCAACUGAAUAGAGCACCAGAUUACGGCUCUGGAGGUUUAAGGUUUGAAUCCUUACGAGGUCA
rnacentral:tRNA from 1 species